GCCGCCGCCUGUCUAACUCCUCCCGUAAAUCGGCUCGGGAGAGAGGAGGGGAAGGGAAGAUCCCAUGGAGGCGGAGGAACACCAAACGUCCUUGCCUGCAGCGCACCCAUGAGAUCCAAUUGCUGACAGCGGGCUGAGUCAAGUUCAGGGGGGCGCUUCCUGGACUGGUCGGCUGACAUCCCGUGUUGGGUGGCGACGGCCUGUGCGAGCCAUCGGGCAAGGAAGUUGUAAGGACGACGUCCAGCCUCAGCCUUCAUGUUGGUUAUUGUAGCCUGAGAAGAGGAGCUGCAGAUUCAGAGUGUAUGUGAUAUCCCUACUAGAUGAGUCCUACCAGAUUGCUACAGCAUUCAUGCAGGGAAUAGGCAAAAGGAGAGGUAUUGGCACUUCAGAAAAGGGUGUUGGCUGUUCUGAUUGAGGCCAGGCAUGAAAUCUCUUAUUUCAUUGUUAGUUCUUUGUUGAAGCUGUACUUAUUUUGCAUAGCAUUUCAGGCAAUGUUUAGACUUCAGAUAACACAUGUCCCUAGAUUACAUAGUAUGCAUGCCCUCUGUUACCUGCUGAAUGUCUCUGGGGUUUCUAAAAAUGUUCAGAAUAAUCUAAAUUUCAGAAAUUCUUCGUGGAUUAUGAUUGGUAGUUAUAUGCCACCAGAUAGCAAGACUGCUACUUGAACAAUUUGUUAUCCAUGAAGCUUAGGUGUGCUACACGAACUAAAUUUGCUAUCAUUUUCCACCAUUUUCUAAGGCCAGCAGAGCCAGACACACUUUAGUUACCCUAAGGAAGUACUUUUACCCUUUUUUUUGUCAAUGACCCACCAGUCACCACAAGUUCAAAUGAUUAGUUUAUUGAAAUUCAUUAACAGUACAUAUUUACUGCUGUUUAUUUGCAUAUGUGAUAUCUCAAUUUCACUUCUCAACAUGAUAUUUGCAGCUUAUUCAUUACUCAACCGACCUGCUUUUGUUGUAAUUUUUUAUUCGCGUUUCUCAGAUUUAUUUGAUGUCCAAUGCUAUAUUAUGUGCAUCUAUGAACCAUAAUUUGAUUGUGUUUAGUGCGUCCUGCACGAUUGACUUGAAAAGUACCUCAAUGCAGCCUUGUGAGUCAUAUGUAUGGUGCAUUUAGUUCCUUUUUCCAUUUAUUAUACACUGUACUAUUUUGACAUACCCCUUAAGAUGAUUGAAACAACCCCCUUAAGAUGAUUGAAAUAAUAUUGUUAUGCAUGAUUAUUGAUAACUCGGCUGAUUAGGUAGUAAAUGGUAACUAUACCAUGUACGAUGCAUUUCCCCUUCAAAAUGUAGCAUAUGUUUUUAUUAAUUUUUGGAUGCAAAACCAUCUGCACACUAGCAUGCAUCCACCCUUUCAAAGAAAAUAAUAAAAUGAUAUCAGUAGUUCAGCACGAUUGGAAGAUAUCAGUAGUUCAGCACACCAUGGCAGCACGUGCGUGGCCAGCCAAUGUACGCUCUACUAGCACCAUAGUGAAUUCCAGCGACCUACGGCUAGGAAGUGCAUGAGCUGAUGCUAGCAUGCCCUGACAAAACAUGAAAAAACUGGCUCUCUGAUGUAACUACCGCCUAAGAGGUUGUUUCGAUACAGUUAUCGUAUUUUAGAGAAUAAUUACCAGGUUCUCUGAUGUAGUUGACAUGUUCUCUGAUGUAUUUUAGAAAAUAAUUACAGCUAGCUCGGCGACAAGGGCUCUGGGUCAUCAGCUUCGGCAAGUGGAGGUACAAGUUCAGGCACGACGAGCUUUUUUCCCGUAAAGAUGUGACAUUGGUGUUUGAAUCUUCCUUCUGAUCCUGUUAAUGAUAACGAGGUUCUCUUGAUAGAAUGUGAAGUUGUCCCUUGUUUUGUUAGCCUUUGCGCUAUAUUGUGUUCUUCGUCAAACACAAAUCGCUACCAACAGGGUGUGGUGUGGACCCGUGGACUUCCACGACACAGCCUUCAGCACUGUUUCAACAUGCUCUGGUCCUCGGACUC